rnacentral:tRNA from 1 species
GGGGAUUUAGCUCAGCGGCAUAAGCGCCUGCCUUGCAAGCAGGCAGUCGUGAGAUAGAUCCCCA